GGACGCGCCGCGUAGCAAGGAAACGCUGACCAGGGGACGAGCCACGUGGGCGAUCUGCGUGCGCGCGAUCGAACGGCCCAGAUCCGUUCCCGUGCGUACGGACGGCCCAGAUCAAACGUGCGCACGGACGGCCCAGAUCACGCGCACGGACGGUCCAGAUUCAAUCAGGCACGGACGGUCCAGAUUGCAUUGCGAUGGACGGCCAAGAUUUAAUCCCAAUUAAAUCGCGAUCGAACGGUCCAGAUUUAAUCUUGAUG
rnacentral:lncRNA from 1 species